rnacentral:rRNA from 1 species
GGCUCAGGACGAACGCUGGCGGCGUGCCUAACACAUGCAAGUCGAGCGAGGAGAUCCUUCGGGAUGAUCCUAGCGGCGGACGGGUGAGUAACACGUGGGCAACCUGCCUCAUAGAGAGGAAUAGCCUUCCGAAAGGGAGAUUAAUACCUCAUAACAUUGCAGUUUCGCAUGGAACAGCAAUUAAAGGAGUAAUCCGCUAUGAGAUGGGCCCGCGGCGCAUUAGCUAGUUGGUGAGGUAACGGCUCACCAAGGCGACGAUGCGUAGCCGACCUGAGAGGGUGAUCGGCCACAUUGGGACUGAGACACGGCCCAGACUCCUACGGGAGGCAGCAGUGGGGAAUAUUGCACAAUGGGGGAAACCCUGAUGCAGCAACGCCGCGUGAGUGAUGACGGCCUUCGGGUUGUAAAGCUCUGUCUUCAGGGACGAUAAUGACGGUACCUGAGGAGGAAGCCACGGCUAACUACGUGCCAGCCGCGGC